rnacentral:rRNA from 1 species
GACGAACGCUGGCGGCGCGCUUAACACAUGCAAGUCGAACGGAAGGGCCCUGCUUUUGUGGGGUGCUCGAGUGGCGAACGGGUGAGUAACACGUGAGUAACCUGCCCUUGACUUUGGGAUAACUUCAGGAAACUGGGGCUAAUACCGGAUAGGAGCUCCUGCUGCAUGGUGGGGGUUGGAAAGUUUCGGCGGUUGGGGAUGGACUCGCGGCUUAUCAGCUUGUUGGUGGGGUAGUGGCUUACCAAGGCUUUGACGGGUAGCCGGCCUGAGAGGGUGACCGGCCACAUUGGGACUGAGAUACGGCCCAGACUCCUACGGGAGGCAGCAGUGGGGAAUAUUGCACAAUGGGCGGAAGCCUGAUGCAGCAACGCCGCGUGCGGGAUGACGGCCUUCGGGUUGUAAACCGCUUUCGCCUGUGACGAAGCGUGAGUGACGGUAAUGGGUAAAGAAGCACCGGCUAACUACGU